rnacentral:lncRNA from 1 species
CAGGGAAGCCAAAAGACUGGACACCCCUAGACCUUCCUUAUAUCUCAGCAGAGGCCAUUUACCCUAUUCUACAUAAGAAGACAAUGGAACUACCACAGAAGAGCUCCAAAUUAUCUUUUGAAAACUGAGACAUGAAAGGUAAAAUUGGACAUAAAAAUAACAUAUAAUAGCCAUCAAUAAAAAUUUAGAUACAACUGUGAAGCAAAGUAGACUGUGUCAAAGUUAAAAACAUUAAAAUUAAAUAUCAGGAAAUGAUAUUCAGAGGACACAUAAUAUGAAUUUUAGAAUUAAAAACAAAAAUAUAAUCAUGACAUAGCUGGUCAGAAAAUAAAUAACAAACUGAAUAAAGGUAGGAAGAGAGGGUUAUAAAUAAAAGUCAGCAAGGCAAUAAAUUUAGAGUAAAGCCAUUUUGUCAUAUAAGAGUAAGUAGGAUUUUCACUAUCUCGUGAGAAUACAGUUUUCUUUAAAACAGAGGGAAAAAUUAAAAUUGAAUUGUAUGUGUUUUCAUGAUGCUUAAUAUCUAAAUAAGUUUUUUUGAAUGUUUUUAUACAUGGGGAUCAUGAUUAGAAUGGGAAAGCCCAAGUUUGGAGCUGCUAUGAGAUAUUGUAAUAAUUUAAAAUAGAGAAAGAACAAAUUGUUAGUUUAAUUCUCUAUUUGUAUUAACAACGUAGUAACAUCAAAUUUAUCUAGAAGUUAUACUAUAAAGUGCAGCUCUGGGUUAUGAAAUAAAACCAAGAUAAGACUGCAAAAACCAAGACAUGAAUGUAAUAAAAAAG